GACAAUAACAUGGCGUCUACGAUUGCUGUGGAGGCUAGAGACAAACAACAUUUAACGAUUCAGUUCAAAUAACACUUGUUUAGUGUCACCCAAAGGCACGUAUGGGCAGUAUAUCUCCAUCGAUAAUGCUAUUUCAUACUUAAUUUCUCUGGUCUUUGAAUAACACCAGCACUCCAUGUCCGAAGGACCUCGGGCUCCCUGGUCGAAGAGGGGUUGCGUGGAGUCGCAUCGCCGAGAGCAGGGCAAGUACAAGCAGAGGAAAUGUGAACGGCCCUUCAGUGCAGUGAAGCCGAAGGUUGGCCAGGAGGCCUCGAAAAGGUGCCUAAUGGCAGGGGAUGUGGAAAUGUACCUUUCCCAAGUGCAUGACGGCAGCGUGUCCUCUGGCUUCCGAGCCUUGUAUGAGGAGCGGCUUUUGCUUGAUGUCACUCUGCUCAUUGAGGAACACCACUUCCAGGCACACAAGGCGCUGCUAGCAACGCAGAGUGACUAUUUCCGGGUCAUGUUCACGGCUGACAUGAGGGAACGUGACCAGGAUAAAAUUCACAUGAAGGGGUUGACGGCAGCAGGGUUUGGUCACGUCCUUCGCUUCAUGUACUACGGUUCCUUGGAGUUAAGCAUGCUCACAGUGCAAGAGAUCCUGCAGGCUGCCAUGUAUGUACAACUCACUGAGGCUGUGGAGUUCUGCUGCUCUUUCCUGCUGGCCAAGAUCUGCUUGGAGAACUGCGCUGAGGUCAUGCGGUUGCUUGAAGACUUCAGUGUUGGCGUGGAAGGUGUGCAGGAGCAGCUCGACGCUUUUCUGCUGGAGAACUUUGUGCCGCUGAUGUCACGACCGGACUUCCUGUCUUAUUUGAGUUUGGAGAAGUUGAUGGCAUACUUGGACAGUGACCAGCUGAGUCGAUUUCCAGAAAUUGAGCUGUAUGAGGCUAUGCAGGCCUGGCUGAGACAUGACCGGCGACGCUGGAGACAUACGGAUGCUGUAGUGCAGAACUUGCGCUUUUGCCUCAUGACUCCAGCUAACAUCUUUGAGAAGGUGAAGACAUCCGAGUUCUAUCGUUAUUCCCGCCAACUGAGGCUGGAAGUGGACCAGGCACUCAGCUAUUUCCAUCAGGUGAAUGAACAACCACUGGCUGAAACCAACUCCAACCGUAUCAGAUCAGUGAGACCACAGACUGCUGUAUUCCGUGGAAUGAUUGGCCACAGCAUGGUCAAUAGUAAGAUCCUCUUGUUGCAUCGGCCUAAGGUGUGGUGGGAACUGGAAGGCCCACAAGUCCCACUUCGACCAGAUUGUCUGGCCAUCGUCAAUAACUUUGCUUUCCUGUUGGGUGGUGAAGAGUUGGGCCCGGAUGGAGAGUUCCAUGCUUCUUCAAAGGUUUACCGUUAUGAUCCCAGACAGAACUCUUGGCUUCGUAUGGCUGACAUGUCUGUGCCAAGAUCGGAGUUUGCUGUUGGCGUCAUUGGGAAGUAUAUUUAUGCCGUCGCAGGCCGCACUCGUGAUGAGACGUUCUAUUCUACGGAGCGUUAUGAUAUCAUUGAGGACAAGUGGGAGUUUGUAGACCCAUACCCUGUAAAUAAAUAUGGGCAUGAAGGCACAGUGCUUAAUGGGAAGCUGUAUAUCACUGGUGGUAUCACCUCAUCUUCCACCUCAAAACAAGUAUGUGUCUUCGAUCCAGGGCGGGAAGGAACAUCCGAACACCGCACACGCCGUACACCCAUCCUCGCCAACUGCUGGGAAAACAAGUCAAAGAUGAACUAUGCUCGUUGCUUCCAUAAAAUGAUCUCCCACAAUGGGAAGCUGUAUGUGUUUGGUGGGGUUUGUGUGAUUCUGCGUGCCUCAUUUGAGUCCCAGGGCUGCCCUUCAACAGAGGUGUACGACCCAGAGACGGAUGAAUGGACUAUUCUUGCCUCAAUGCCUAUUGGACGCAGUGGGCAUGGAGUGGCAGUGUUGGACAAGCAGAUCAUGGUGCUCGGAGGACUUUGCUACAAUGGUCACUACAGCGACUCUAUCCUCACCUUUGACCCUGAGGAGAGUAAGUGGAAAGAGGACGAGUAUCCUAGAAUGCCUUGCAAACUGGAUGGGCUACAAGUGUGUAGUUUGCACUUCCCAGAAUAUGUUCUGGAACAUGUGAGACGCUGCAGCUGAGGCUGUUUUUGUAACUUCUAGACUGUUUGGGAAAAAACAUUUACAGGUGUGAAAAGUAAUACUAAUGAAGCUUUUAAACUGUAGGCCAGUGCUUAUUUAAGAAAAAAAACUCCUUUUUAGGCUUUCACUGUAGAAAGGAAGGUUUGUUGUUUGGUUAGUACUGUUGGUCAAUUUUCUGAACUGGCUCUCUCAUUAAAAACAUAUAAAUACAAAUCUUUUUUGGUCAUAAAUCUGACUCAUUGCACUGUAAUAAUUAUCCUGUAGAGCACAUAAUAUUUCUCAUGUUUCACUUCAUUGUCUUCUGAGAUGUUCUACUGUAUCCAUUCAUUCUGUUCACUGGUGUUUUACAGAAAGUUACGUUUGAUGCGUACAUAUUCCACUACAUAAAUCUAAGUUGUCUGCUACAUAUAGGAGCAAAAAAAGGAGACUAAAUGAAGUAGUUGUACAACUCAAAAAAAUAUUUUCAAAAUCCCUAGUUCUCUGUCUUUUUCUUUAACAUUUACUAAUCUAAGAAUGCAUUUGUGCUGAUACUAGUGAUGUUGUAGUGGAUUUUGACGAUAAUACUGACUAUGAUUGUAAUUCUGACGAAGAUGUUGACAAGCAUUGCACUUGUAUUAGGGCUUAUAUUACUGCUCUACAAUAACACCCAGUCCUCCACUGCUGACUGCCAAAAGAGAAUGGGGAGGGCAGAGUUUAUGGGACAUGUUCUCCAACUUCUACUGGUUGUGCUUAUGCUUAUUACUCUUUUAUUUUAUUAUUAUUUAUUAAAAUGGCAGAGCCUUGCCUUGAUCCAAACAGUGUAAUUUAAUGAGCUACUUUUUUUUGUACAGUAUGUGUCUCUCACUCUCAUAUUGUUGCAUGAGCAAAAGGGCUAAAGCACAUAUGCAUUUUGGUUAAUUUCUACUUCAUAACAGCAGUUCAGAGGCUUAUUCCACUCUGUAUUCAAAUCAAUUGUUUAAGCCUGAGCUUUGAUGAUGGUGUUUGGCACCAUGUAGUUUCCUGUUAUGCUUCAAAUCUUUCUUCUCCUCGCCCUACAUGUGAUGCUGUGUGUUGCUACAGAGUUCCUGAUUGGUUUGUACUUCCUCAGACACUUACUUUAUAUGACCUUUUGUCUCUGUCUUGUUUUUCUCAUCCAAAAUUCAUUAAUGUUUUUAAUGUCAUGUACAAAUAGAUGCCAAACUGUUGACUGUAAGGCCAAAGCUGUAAUAAUCUGAUGCACAGAUGUGUCGGAAGUAGAUUUGAACCUCUAAUCUUGUUAUCCUUUAGCUGAAUAACAGGCAAUUAUUCCACUAUAAUAAUCCAUAGCCCUGUUGUACUACACUCCACCCCAAUAUUGUUCUUGAGAGGAAUAUAAUCAGAUUGCUAAUGUGUUGUUUACCAUAAUCAGAUGGUUCACUGCUAUUUGGAGACUUUGUAACUAAUUUCCAGAAAUAAAUGUUCCUAUUGUCCAGCUCUCUAGUUUUUCUAACCGAGAUCAAGAAACUUAUGUGAACUGCUCCAUUAUUUUGAGUCUCUUUUACUUAGAAACAGCGUUUGCAUUUUAUGUACUAAAGUCAAAAGCUUUCUAUUGUUAUACAGUAGUUGUAAUGUUUUCUGCUCUAAACUAUUGUUGAGAUAUAAUCAUUCAAAUGCUGGUUGAGAAUUUUUGCUUUAGUGCAUUAAACUGUAAAUGUUGUUCUGGGUCAAACUGACUCAAAAUGAUAAGGUCACAUAUUAGUUUAACAUGAUGUGUUGCAUGUUUAUUUUUUAAGUGUACCUGAGCCAUACAUCUGUUCUUUAGAAAUCUGAUCAUACAGGUUUAUUCCUGUAAGAGGAUCCACUAGCAGGACAUAACCCUGAGCGUUUUCUUGAGCUAAUGUGACUAUAUCUGACAGAAAGCAACACUUUUGUGCUAUAUUCAGAAAGAAUGUUUUUGGAAGGUGCCUUCUUAGAGUUGUGUGCAUUGUUGGUCACUGAGGGGCUUUUGAAGUUCUAGAAAAUGAUUUGUUCAUAUGUGUUGAGAUUUAUUACUGCUUUUCAGCUUAACGUGUCAGAGAAGCCUGGGGAGGCAAAGAUGUGUAUGUGCUGCUCUCUAAGAUUGGUCCAUUCAA